AGUGAACGCUGGCGGUAGGCCUAACACGUGCAAGUCGAACGGCAGCACAGAGGAGCUUGCUCCUUGGGUGGCGAGUGGCGGACGGGUGAGGAAUACAUCGGAAUCUACUCUGUCGUGGGGGAUAACGUAGGGAAACUUACGCUAACACCGCAUACGACCUACGGGUGAAAGCAGGGGACCUUCGGGCCUUGCGCGAUUGAAUGAGCCGAUGUCGGAUUAGCUAGUUGGCGGGGUAAAGGCCCACCAAGGCGACGAUCCGUAGCUGGUCUGAGAGGAGGAUCAGCCACACUGGAACUGAGACACGGUCCAGACUCCUACGGGAGGCAGCAGUGGGGAAUAUUGGACAAUGGGCGCAAGCCUGAUCCAGCCAUACCGCGUGGGUGAAGAAGGCCUUCGGGUUGUAAAGCCCUUUUGUUGGGAAAGAAAUCCAGCUGGCUAAUACCCGGUUGGGAUGACGGUACCCAAAGAAUAAGCACCGGCUAACUUCGUGCCAGCCGCCGCCGUAA
rnacentral:rRNA from 1 species